GAUGAAGAACGUAGCGAAAUGCGAUAAGUAGUGUGAAUUGCAGAAUUCAGUGAAUCAUCGAAUCUUUGAACGCACAUUGCGCCCCAUGGUAUUCCGUGGGGCAUGCCUGUUCGAGCGUCAUUUACCCCCUCAAGCUCCGCUUGGUGUUGGGCGUCUGUCCCGCUUCGCGCGCGGACUCGCCCCAAAGGUAUUGGCAGCGGUCGUGCCAGCUUCUCGCGCAGCACAUUGCGCUUCUCGAGGCACCGGUGGGCUCGCGUCCAUCAAGCUCACCCCCCCAGUUUGACCUCGGAUCAGGUAGGGAUACCCGCUGAACUUAAGCAUAUCAAUAAGCGGAGGA
rnacentral:misc_RNA from 1 species